rnacentral:rRNA from 1 species
UACGAAGGGGGCUAGCGUUGCUCGGAAUCACUGGGCGUAAAGGGUGCGUAGGCGGCUUUCUAAGUCGGGGGUGAAAUCCUGGAGCUCAACUCCAGAACUGCCUCCGAUACUGGAAAGCUCGAGUCCGGGAGAGGUGAGUGGAACUGCGAGUGUAGAGGUGAAAUUCGUAGAUAUUCGCAAGAACACCAGUGGCGAAGGCGGCUCACUGGCCCGGUACUGACGCUGAGGUGCGAAAGCGUGGGGAGCAAACAGG